ACUAAGAGGAUCCCAUUGCACUUGGAAAACUCACCUCUCACCUUUUUCUGCUGAAUAAUGGGAGAAAAAAACCCACGUUUGGUAUCAGAUGAAUGCACAGAGAGCGUUUAUUACUUGGAAUUUCCUCACCUGAUGAUCCUGAAUCUUCCUGCCCACUACUCUGAAUGUGUUGUUGCCUGUGUGAUGAUAUAUGUGAACUCUGCUGAAUCCAGUUGAUCCACCAGCUGGUACCCAUUUCUUAUUGGCAUCGUCGUAGACCAUUACAGCAGCUCGUGCUUGGCAGAUACUCUGUUCACUGUUAAUAUACAAAGUGGAGAAGAAAAUAAAAUUACUUGUGGCAAAGCAUCA